CAGAAGGCAUGAGCCCCGUGAGAAAGCUGUGAGUAAGCCCUGCAAUCAACAGAAGUGUCAGACCCUCAGCAUCUCAGAUAAAAGACCAGGAUGUACACCACACAGAGCGGCCCUUCUCUGACAGCAGCACAACCUGGGCUCACGGUUCUUUACCAACUGAGAACAGAUGCAAGGAACCAGAGAAAGAUCAAGAGUGGGGCAGGACACAGUUUUCAUUUCUCUUGAAUAGGGAAUGAAAUUGCUGGGUCACAAGCCUCAAGGAGGACAAACUGGAGCAAAAUUACCAGUUAAGAGGUGAGGGUUGCCACUCUUAAACUCUUAGCUGGUCAUCCAAGGGAAGGUGAAGAUAGCCUGGGCUUGAGGGGAGAUAGAAGGAAUAAUCUGGAUUCAAAAAAUACCAGGAGGGAAGACUUCAGGCAUGAGGGAGUGAGGAGAUCAACAAAUCCUCUCCUCAAAAAGCAACUAUAAACGUGGACAAAAAGUCAGUCAUUUCAGGAAAGUAAAUUGAUUUCGGCAAAGACAGCCUGAAUCCAUGGCAUUUUUGCCCAAGGCUGCUUUCAUCUUUCCCUUCCAGAAGUCUGUCAGAUUGCUCAAUCGGGGCAAAAACCAGCAAUGGUGUAUGACUGCUGGGUCAUAUGGGAAGUCUAUGUUUAACUUUACAAUAAACUGUCAAGCUCUCUUCCAAAGUGGCUGUACCAUUUUGCAUUCCCACAAACAGUGAAUGAGAGUUCUUGUUGCUCUGCAUCCU